rnacentral:rRNA from 1 species
GAUGAACGCUAGCUACAGGCUUAACACAUGCAAGUCGAGGGGCAGCAUGAACUUAGCUUGCUAAGUUUGAUGGCGACCGGCGCACGGGUGAGUAACACGUAUCCAACCUUCCGUUUACUCAGGGAUAGCCUUUCGAAAGAAAGAUUAAUACCUGAUAGUAUGGUGAGAUUGCAUGAUAGCACCAUUAAAGAUUUAUUGGUAAACGAUGGGGAUGCGUUCCAUUAGGUAGUAGGCGGGGUAACGGCCCACCUAGCCAACGAUGGAUAGGGGUUCUGAGAGGAAGGUCCCCCACAUUGGAACUGAGACACGGUCCAAACUCCUACGGGAGGCAGCAGUGAGGAAUAUUGGUCAAUGGACGAGAGUCUGAACCAGCCAAGUAGCGUGAAGGAUGAAGGUCCUACGGAUUGUAAACUUCUUUUAUAAGGGAAUAAACCCUCCCACGUGUGGGAGCUUGUAUGUACCUUAUGAAUAAGCAUCGGCUAACUCCGUG